UCUCUUUACACGUGAAAAAUUAUUUUCCCUAUAAAGAAGAGAAUGAUUCAAUUUUAAGUUGAGGGACUGUCGUGUUAUAAUUAUAUAAGUUCAGGGACGAUUGUUAAAAUUUAUCCUAGUUUAUACACAAACUCAAGAAGGGGGUUGUAAAGUUAGACAAAAUUUAAAGACAUUACCAAUACAUUGUCUUUUAAAAGACCUCCAGCACCCCAUGAUAGCACCUUU
rnacentral:misc_RNA from 1 species